rnacentral:tRNA from 1 species
GGAAGGAUGGCAGAGUGGUCGAAUGCGGCGGUCUUGAAAACCGUUGGGCCCUCACGGGUCCCGGGGGUUCGAAUCCCUCUCCUUCCGCCA